rnacentral:rRNA from 1 species
AGCGAACGCUGGCGGCAGGCCUAACACAUGCAAGUCGAACGGACCCUUCGGGGUUAGUGGCGGACGGGUGAGUAACACGUGGGAACGUGCCUUUAGGUUCGGAACAGCUCCUGGAAACGGGUGGUAAUGCCGAAUGUGCCCUUCGGGGGAAAGAUUUAUCGCCUUUAGAGCGGCCCGCGUCUGAUUAGCUUGUUGGUGGGGUAAUGGCCCACCAAGGCUACGAUCAGUAGCUGGUCUGAGAGGAUGACCAGCCACAUUGGGACUGAGACACGGCCCAAACUCCUACGGGAGGCAGCAGUGGGGAAUCUUGCGCAAUGGGCGAAAGCCUGACGCAGCCAUGCCGCGCGUAUGAUGAAGGUCUUAGGAUUGUAAAAUACUUUCACCGGUGAAGAUAAUGACUGUAGCCGGAGAAGAAGCCCCGGCUAACUUCGUGCCAGCAGCCGCGGUAAUACGAAGGGGGCUAGCGUUGCUCGGAAUUACUGGGCGUAAAGGGAGCGCAGGCGGACAUUU